rnacentral:rRNA from 1 species
GCGAGAACACAUGAUCAACUUACCCUAUAGAGAAAAAUAACCUCGGGAAACUGAGGAUAAUGUUUCAUAGUUGAAAAGGCUUGGAAAAGUUUUUCAAUAAAAGGGAUAAGAAAAAUGGUUUUUAUCCGCUAUAGGAUAGGAUCGUGCUCGAUUAUGGUUGUUGGUGAGGUAAUGGCUCACCAAGCCGAUAAUCAAUAGGGGCCGUGAGAGCGGGAGCCCCGAGAUGGGUACUGAGACAACGACCCAGGCCUUACGAGGCGCAGCAGGCGCGAAACCUCCGCAAUACACGAAAGUGUGACGGGGUUACCCAAAGUGUUCAAUUUUGAACUGUGGUAGGUGAGUAAUGUUCCCUACUAGAAAGGAGAGGGCAAGGCUGGUGCCAGCCGCCGCGGUAAAACCAGCUCUUCAAGUGGUCGGGAUAAUUAUUGGGCUUAAAGUGUCCGUAGCCGGUUUAGUAAGUUCCUGGUAAAAUCGGGUAGCUUAACUAUCUGUAUGCUAGGAAUACUGCUAAACUAGAGGGCGGGAGAGGUCUGAGGUACUACAGGGGUAGGGGUGAAAUCUUAUAAUCCUUGUAGGACCACCAGUGGCGAAGGCGUCAGACUGGAACGUGCCUGACGGUGAGGGACGAAAGCCAGGGGAGCGAACCGGAUUAGAUACCCGGGUAGUCCUGGCCGU